GUCUCUUCAGAGGCAUUUGAUAAAAUUAGCACGAUACAAAGAAAAUUAGCAUAAUCCCAUGCACAAAGAUGACACGCGAAAAAAAACUUAAUUACAUUAGU